CGUUCCUACGGGAGGCAGCAGUGAGGAAUAUUGGUCAAUGGACGAGAGUCUGAACCAGCCAAGUAGCGUGAAGGAUGACUGCCCUAUGGGUUGUAAACUUCUUUUAUAUGGGAAUAAAAUGUUCCACGUGUGGGAUUUUGUAUGUACCAUAUGAAUAAGGAUCGGCUAACUCCGUGCCAGCAGCCGCGGUAUUACGGAGGAUCCGUGCGUUAUCGGGAUUUAUUGGGUUUAAAGGGAGGGUAGGUGGAUUGUUAAGU
rnacentral:rRNA from 1 species